rnacentral:rRNA from 1 species
UACGAAGGGAGCAAGCGUUGUUCGGAAUUACUGGGCGUAAAGAGCGCGUAGGCGGUUUGAUAAGUUGGGCGUGAAAUCCCCGGGCUUAACCUGGGAAUUGCGUUCAAAACUAUCAGACUAGAGUGUAGAAGAGGGUGGUGGAAUUUCCAGUGUAGAGGUGGAAUUCGUAGAUAUUGGAAAGAACACCAGUGGCGAAGGCGGCCACCUGGUCUACAACUGACGCUGAGGCGCGAAAGCGUGGGGAGCAAACAGG